AAGGAGCAUCUAGAUCCCGCAAGGGAUCCAGAGCCACAACGUCGGCGAAUGUCCGACGGUGGUUAGCUCAUGGGUGGAACGUUGAUUAUUCGGCCGGUUUCACGGGUCGGAGGCUGUUAGUACUGCUCGCAAGAGUGUGGAAAACAUGAUCUCCGGACGGGAGCCGGCCGGGCACGCUGUUGGGUGUCUGAGGGUAUGGCCGUAUGGCUGCCUUCAGUGCUGGCCCCAGUGCACUCCGGUGGAAACCGGGGGUGAUGGGUGGUUGGUCGUUGUUUGAGAACUGCACAGUGGACGCGAGCAUCUGU
rnacentral:misc_RNA from 1 species